UCAUAGAAAGGAUACAAGCCUUAUCAUACCGCUAUGUCUGAAUAGAGUAAUUACAGGUAUUUUUGAUACCUGAUUGUAGACUGCGGAGGCGCGUCUCUGUUUCUGUGUUUGCUGGUCCCGCUCUGGCAAAGGUGUCCCGCGGCUGAGACUCUGGGCUCACCUGCACGGGUCUGCACGGGUCUCCGGAAGGGGCUCCCAGCGCGCCCCCGGCCUGCGCGGGGGCUUCUGGGAGAUGUGGUCCGUCCGCCGGCCCGCGCGCCUCCGUGCGCCUCGGCUCAGGCCGCUGGUUCUUCUUACUCCGCAGGGCGGGUGCGCAGAGCUGGUUCCGCCCAUGAACGUCUCGCGGCGGCCUCCGGACCCAAGACCUCCAGGCGGCUGCCUGGAGAGGUCUGAAUUUUGGGCAAAUCUUGCAGAGAUUGAAGAGGUAAGGCUAAGCUUUCAAUAUUUACACUGAGAAAGGCCCAGGAGAUGACUUUGGCUGUAGUUUGGGAUGGUAAAAUGGUAGACAGGGAGACAGCAGGAAAAUCUAAAUAUAAUUUAGAGGGAGAAGAUAAAAUACCCUUCAGAAAUCAGGGCAAAAUCUCCAAGCAUCUCUUUCGCCUGUGGUAUCCCUGGGAUGUGGGUUCCCCUCCCAGCUCCACCCUUGCAGCCAGCGAGGGGCAGUGGGGCUGUGGGGUGAGAGUUUGAUCCCUCUGUUCAGAUGCACACCCAGAUGCACACCCAGAUGCACACCCAGGAUGUCACGGUGAUAGUUGAGACAAUGACCCUAAUGGUUAAAAUUCUCCAGCUUGCAGGUGGGUAAUUGGGAGAUAGUUUUUAUGCCCUGGUCACCUGUGAUAAUUUUAUUUUUUUACACAAACUGUUGAGAAUGUUUUUAUAACUAUAGAUAAUAGAGAAACUACUAAUCAUGUUAAAAUCCUCCCAUUUUUGGUCCAGAGUUGGGACCUCCCAUCAGUGAGGAGCCCUGAAGGCAGGAGUAAAAAAGCAAGUAUUCCUUUAAACUUCUCAUCUCACUUUCUCUCCCAAUGUCUUCUUAAACUUUAUUCACAUCAUUCCAAGGGGUUAUACUUGGCUUUUUUAGAUUCUGGGUAGAAAAUGUCCCAACUCAAGACCUAAUAUAUAUAUAUAUAUUAGGUAUUUUUUUUUUUUUACUUACUUUGAGAGAGGGAGAGCAGGGGAGUGCUAGAGAGAUAGAGAGAAAAAUCCCAAGCAUUGAUAGAACAGAGCCAUUUGGGGGCUCAAACUCAUGAACUGAGAUCAUGACCUGAGCCAAAAUCAAGAGUCAGAUGCUCAACUGACUGAAUCCCCCCAGGUGACUUUGAAGACCUCAGAUUCUAACCAUAUCACAGGAGUUGUCUAUUUUUGUUUUGUUUUGUUUUAUUGCUAUUGCUAGGUUCUCAUUGUGGGUAUCCCGUGAAGGAACAUUCCAGAUUCCUUGAGUAGUUUCCAGAUCUGUAGGCCCCUUCUGUUCUCAGGAGUAGUUCUAUCAGAGUAGGAAAAUCUGAUCCUGGAUAUUAAGUUUCAAUCUUUUGUGAGAAGCUAUAAAGAUAAUUUUCUACCCCUCACUGUAAAGUGCUCUUGUGGGUGGGAAAUUAAAAGUCCUUCAGGGGGAUUAAAAUCUCAUUUGGAUUACCCUAAUUACAAAAGUUUUGGUUGUUAGAAUUUUCUCGAAUUUUCGUGAAAAAGAACUUCGUAUUUCCCAUGAAGAUUCAUUCUCCUUAGCAGUGAAUUUUGAACUUUGUUACCUUUAACAUCCAAAUUAGGUUUUCCCCUAGUUUUUCUUUUUUAAUUUUUUCUUAUGUUUUUUAUUUAUUUUUGAGAGACAGAGACAGUGCGAGCAAAGGAGGGUCAGAGACAGAGGGAGACACAACCCAAAGCAGGCUCCAAGCUCUGAGCUAGCUGUCAGCACAGAGCCCGACGCGGGGCUCGACCCACGAACCAUGGGAUCAUGACCUGAGCCGAAGCCGGACGCUUAACCGACUGAGCCCCCCAAGUGCCCCUCCCCUAGUUUCCCUGUUCCUGAUUUCUAACUCAGCAUUAGCGGUAACAUAGUCAAAAGGGCACAGGCAGGGAUGAUAUAGAAGCACCUUCAGCUCUGUUGGGGAAGUGAGAUUCCUGCUCCGGACAGAAACAUUCUCACAAUCCCGGCUUAUUGGUUUGGAGCUCCAAUUCUCUUAGAAUUUGUACUUUAAUGGAAUUGGAGGGGGUGGUGUGGAGAAGUGGGACUCUUUUUAGCCAGCCAGCUUUGAUGCUGUGCAUGUGUAUAUCAUUUGUCCUAAGUAUUUCUUUUUUCAAUUAUAAUUUGUUCUGUGAGCUUUCAUUAAUAUAACAGUAUUUUUUAAAAAAAUUUUUGUGAAACUAGGUAGUUUUGUAUGUCAGCCCCACACCCAUAGGUGUCACCAUUCUAACCCUGCUGCUGUGCAUAAAUGAGGUGUGCCCGCCCCUGAAUUACCAGUGUCCCUGGUGCCAGCAAGUGAAGGUGCUUACCGGGGGUAAGCACUUCCUUCCACCCACCUCUUCUAUGUCCCUAUGCCUCUACCCUGCUAGAGACAAUUUCUCUCCAGAACAGUGCUUUUAAAUAGAAAUCAAAUGCAAGCUAUAUAUGUAUUUUUAAAUUUUCUAAUAGCUACUUUUGAGAGAUUAGGAAGAAACAGGUGAAAUUAAUUUUUAACAUUUGAAUAGCCCAGUGUUUCCAAAAUAGUAUGGUCUCUACAUUUAAUUGAUAUAAAACUUAUUAAUGAGUUCAUUGACAUCCUAUAUUUAAAGAUUGUAUUUUUAAGUAACAUACAUCGUGGGGCUCAAACUCACCACCCCAAGACCAAGAGUUGCACACUCCAUGGACUGAGUCAGCCAUGUGCCUCUUUAUUGGGAUUCUGUUGUGGUCUUCAAUAUCUGGAGUGUAUUUUGUACCUGUACCAUUUCUCAGUGGCCUAGCCAUGUUUAAGUGCUCAGUAGCCUCAUGUGAUGAGUGGCAACAUUAUGAGAGAGCACAGCUCUAGAGAGUGAUUUUAUGUACACACUCCGCUUUUGGAGCCUCCUUUAUUCUCGUGAACCUCCAUCCGCCUGGAGUCUGGCUGUUGCUCCCCCUUUCCUCUCUUUUCUUUUGUCAUGUUCCUUUUCUGAUCUGGAGACUCAUUUCCAGUUCCUGAACAUUUUGGCCAGAUUUCUUCUGUCUUGCUUUUGUUUGAGGGCCACAGGUUUUUCCUGUAACCCUCAUUUCAGC
rnacentral:lncRNA from 1 species